UACCUAGGACGGUGGUAGCUCCUUUCAUGAACCUCUUUUUCAUCUUUCUGCCCCCGGAGACACCAGUUAGCCAUCAAGUGAAAUGUGGAAAUCCCACAGCCGCUGGAAAUCCCUCCUCCGCUGACCGUGUUUUGCGGAGACACUGGACUCAUCGGGCAGGAAGGGAAGGGCGGCCUACAGCUGCUGAGCACCAAGGUCAGACGGCCGUGCUCACCACCUCCCGGCCAGCCUGAGCUCGAACGGCGUCCUGACGCAGCCACGGGAUUUUGGCGGAGUCGGUCCCUUCCCACAGGUGUCCGACCCUGGGUCAGUCCAGGGCACUGAGGGCCGGAGAAGUGAGCUGCGGGUUCGGCCUGGGCGUGAGGGCCGUCAGGACGGGGGCGCGGGGACGAUUCACCUGCUGCUCUCUCAAUACGAAGGACUAUCACAAAAUACUCUAUUUUCAAGAAUACAUACCUCGGGCACAAGAUAAUUAUUCAAGCAAGCACAGCCACGACAGAAGCCAGUGCUACGUUUUCACGGUUUCAGUGGAACCAUGCGGAUCAGGAGUCUAACCUUCUGAGAACGGCUCCUCUGACGGAGGGAAAAAAACAAAAAAAAACAGGGAAAGACAGAAUCAAGGAUAAUCUUUAGGGACAGCACAUACACUGGAUGCAGAUGAUCUUAAAUCUGCAGGUCCUUGACUCCCGAACCCUCUACAUAAUGACGUCCCCCUGUGACCUCAAGAUACCCGCCUCCCUCGGUGAGGCUCUCUAGAGAAAUAACAGCUCGGACAUCUUGUAGCACAGCGUUACAGGAGGGCAAAGACCAUUCUGGAUUUCCCUCCCGCCCGGCCGCGACACGAGCACUCCAGUAACUUCUCUGCACACACAAGGAGCAGAAGACGUCUUGCCAAAGGACCUGGAUUGGCCACGCCCGUUGCGGGCAGAGCCGAGGGGUAGGUGAUCCUUACGCUGAGGCUCCGGACACAGGAUAGACAUGUCUUUUCUUCCGCGUCCGGUGAUUGCCCUUGGGGACGGAUACAAUUCGUCCCUGCCUUACAGGGUCACUGGUGUUCCUAUCAGACGGUGGGAACCCGGCUGCCACGGUGCCCACCUAGGGAGCCCCAUCCAAACAGAAGGCAGGGAUGCUUACUUUCCCCGGCAGGCCCUCUGGAACUUGGAGAAGGUGGUCAAUGAGAACUCGCCAAGCUGUGACGCAUAAUUUGAGAACGUCCCUAACGGCCAGCAUUUUGGUCACUGUGACCCCAGAGGCAGCCAGCAAGCAACGGACACAUUUUUCUUCAGGGUGAGUGUCACGUUCUCACCUUACAGGCAGGGCGGUGCUGGCUCCCAACCCAUGUUAUCAAGAGGCUUGACACACUAGGACACAUUCUUAGGUGUCUUCUUGGCACAGGGGCCCGGAAUACUUUGGCCUCCUAAUCUCCGUUCCCUUUCAGCUCAGCAAACAGAGGCAGCACCUUCAAGAGUGAGGCUCUGCCUGGCCAUAGGGCUCUGCAUAUCACACUGCCGGGCAGAUGAGAAUCACAGGGUACAGAUAAAGUUACAUCAAGACACACAUUUUUGUACACUGUAGGCCUGGCAGGCCGAGAAGGAGACUAUUUGAAAACAAGAACCUGGAAACUUUUUUUUUUUCUUUUUGCCAAAAUAAUAUUUGUUUCGGAGGCCACGUCUUCCAGUUAUGUUUAGGGAAAGAUUUUUAUGGAGAAGGACACUCCUUUUAAAUAUUUCCCGGGAGACACAGAAGCAUGGGUUUGUGAUUUUGAGAACACCUUAGGGGAUGCUGUUCCACAUUUGGGGAUUUUUCUGGCAAGGAGCCACCGGCUUAGUUUCUUAGAGAAUGGGGCCUCUCUUAGAGCAACAGAAAGAGAACAAGUAGAAGGUGGUUUUGUUGCUAAGCCAGAAAAAGGGGUGUUUUAAGGAUAACUUUGACUAAGAGGUUCUUUAAAUGGUUUGAGGAAAUGAAAGAGGCCUGUUUGCUGAGUUGAAAGAAAAUCCCACCUCCACCUCCACAAAUGUGGGUUUUUUGCCCAUUUCGGGAAGGUGGCCCCGGAACAUGGAAACAUUCCCUGGUAUGAAUGAAAGAUUGUGUCCAGGUAGGGUAAA